rnacentral:sRNA from 1 species
CUCUACAACAGCUCUCUUUCCAUGAAUGCAAUUCUUUGUGGCAGAUCUCUAUGAGUGGAGCGAAGCCAGAUAAUUGUGGCUGUCUGGGCAAUGGAAAUUACCUCUCAAUCUGGAAAACCUCUUUAAAGUAGAAUGGGACUUAAGUACUAAAUGUGAUAGAGGCUACUGCCAGAAGGUUCUCAGCCUGGGGAACCCCGAUCUACCACGCUCAGUGAGGCGGCUACUUCGUCAACUGCCUUAUGUCACUUCCACUGUCACUAGUAGGACUCGAAAAUCAUGUGCCACAAGUUUGCGACCAUCCACAGCCGGAACUUGCCUAAAAGGAAGCCAGUGCCGAACCAGAAACAGCAGCCAACACCAAAACCAAAGCCUCGGCCAACCGCAUCCCAGAGGGAGUCGAGGAAAAUGGAGGCUCGCAGCGACGACAACAAGACCAAGAGCCUCCUGAGCCGAUCGAGGACAAGGGGCAGCGAACGGCGUCCUGUGGGACAUUAAGCCUUUUCAGCUUGCUAAGUUACUAACUUCUGAACGUUCAGCUUCUAAGUGAUAUAUGAUUUUAUAUGGAAUUUUACACCUGCGAUAGGCCUUACUUGUCUGUUUUUCAUGGUCUCUUAAAUAGAUCAGUAUGCGCUUUUAAACGCGCUCCUGAACGCUCAUAAAAACGUUAAACUUUUGACACCUCUUUUCGGGUGAUGUCCCACUGUACGCCGCUAAAUUAAACGCUGUGCUUCAGCUGCGAGAUGCAGGACUUAUUUACACUACGCUACGCCACAACCCGAGUCGUAUCCGAUUUCGCUCUGCCAGACGGAGUUCUGUCCAUGCAUUAUCGAGGCUAUUCGAGACAGAACGAGUCCUAUCCCAGACGAACAGGACAGACAUCAGGACAAAUGCGCACGACUUGCCAGAACGGAACCUAACAAGCAAUCGUCAUCCUUCGAAAUGGCCAUCCACAACAAGGACUUUGACUAUUUUAACCAAGGCAAGGGGAUACGCGGGCUACUAGACUCUAGAUAGAUAUCGUUCUUGUUAGCUUUAAGGAUAUACUAUAUAUA